UGGACUUGACAUCCUAAAAACAUCUAAGAGAUUAGAAAGUGCUAGUUUACUAGAAUUUAGUGACAGGUGCUGCACGGCU
rnacentral:rRNA from 1 species